rnacentral:lncRNA from 1 species
CAGAUCAGGCUCUAAAACUAGACUGUCCUUUUUCUUUAAAACUGUUAAACUUUUGAAAUCUCUGAACACAGACAGUGGUAAGUCCGAGAGUCCUUAUGUAGUUCUAAAAUGAGACCUUCAUUUUACCAGAUGCGCAGUGAGCACACAUCCUGUUAGAAGUCAGCCACUUUUAAAUGGCACGCCAAGAAAUAAAGAUUUAAAGCUAACAAAUAGUUUUAUGGUAAAAGCUGAAACAAUUGGUUUGCACUAAAGUGCACUUUUAUCUACUAUCUUAAGCAAAAUAACAUGGAGAAAAUGAAGGGAAACGUAAACACUAACCUAAUAUUGCUGUGUCACCGGAGUUAAUUGCUCAGUGUUUUGUGUGACAUCCACACCUCUUAGUCAACUAUUUGUUGUGUAUUGCAAUUGUCACCAAAUGCAAGACUUUAAUUCCUUUUUCUUUAAUUUACAGGGUUGUUCUGGCUGUGGAAAAUGUGACUGCAGUGGAGUAAAAGGGCAAAAAGGUGAAAGAGGUUUGCCUGGUCUACAAGGUUUAAUUGGGUUUCCUGGAAUGCAAGGACCCGAAGGUCCCCCUGGGCCACCAGGAAUUAAGGUAGGAUACAUUUAAUACUUAAAUGGGAAGAUUUCCCUAAACCCUUGUCACUGUGAAAGACCAAUAUAUUCCAUUUUUCUUACAGGGUGAUACUGGAGAACCAGGGCUCCCAGGAACAAAAGGAACAAGGGGCCCACCAGGUGUAUCAGGAUAUCCAGGAAACCCAGGUCUUCCUGUAUGUAUGAAGCAUAUAUUUAUUUACAAAGAACCCCACGGUUUUACUAGUGACAUCAGGUGAGGAUUAAUAUAGCAUUUAUUACUUUUCUGCUUUCUCCUAUUGGCAGGGCAUCCCUGGACAAGAUGGCCCACCAGGUCCACCUGGUAUCCCAGGUUGCAAUGGCACAAAGGGUGAAAUAGGUCCUGUUGGUCCUCCAGGUUUACCUGGAUUGGUUGGGUUAAUAGGACCUCCAGGAUCUCCUGGAAUUAAGGGAGACCCAGGUGAAGUGAUUGGGUUUUUACCAUCAAAUGUGCUAAAAGGUGAAAAAGGUUAUCCUGGCCUCCCUGGGCUACCAGGUAUGCAAGGAUUGCAAGGGCUCCAAGGCCCCAUCGGGCCACCAGGGAUUUCAGGAGUUCCAGGUCCCCCAGGCCCACGGGGUGAUCCGGGUGAGAAGGGUCAGAUGGGCUUGAGUUUUCAAGGACCAAAAGGUGAUAAGGUAAGCCUCUCUGUUUGAAAUGCUUUCGAAUGCAACAGAUUAUCCCUGUACA